GUGAAUCAUCGAAUCUUUGAACGCAAAUUGCACUCUCUUCGGAGAGUAUGCCUGUUUGAGGGUCAGUAUUAACAAAAAAAUCGGUUUGUUUGCAAAUUGUGCCGUUUCCGGAGUUUGGGCUAUCUUAACUUUUUUGGUUAAGGGGCUUAAAAUUGACCUUUUUUGCGCAUUUUUAGACGUCCAUAAAUUUUUUUUUAUUCUUCUUUUCUUAUUCCCAAAUUCUUAUUAGUUCCGAUCC
rnacentral:misc_RNA from 1 species